AAGAAGAAGAAAGGAAUUGAUUGAAAGAGAGAUUAGCAAAAUAUACAAAAAUGACAAUGAGAUCUGGAAAAUUGCUUUUCAGUUUCGUUGUAGCAUUUGCUUUGGUUUUCUCGGCCUUUUUUCCGGCCGUUCAGGCACAAGAAGGUUUAGCUCCGGCACCUGCUCCGGCCAGCGACGGUACAACAAUUGACCAAGGGAUUGCAUGUGUAUUAAUGUUGUUGGCCUUGGCAGUGACAUACCUUGUUCAUGCUGCUGAUGUUCCUUUUUAAUUAACUUCUAAAAAUAAUGGGUUUAUUGAACAUCAUUGGUGUUGUGAGUGCCUAGGUUUAUGGAAAAUUUUACAAGGUUUUUCUUGAUAUCAUAUUGUUAUUAUACCUAGGACACUUAUAUUUAGCUAUUCGUAUUUAGGAACAAUUUAACUUUGACGAGCAUAUCUUUUUUGAGGUUCCAACAAUAUUUAUAUAACACUCUUGGUUAAGCUUUUUCA